UACAGAGGUCCCAAGCGUUGUUCGGAUUUACUGGGCGUAAAGGGUGCGUAGGUGGCGAGGUAAGUUCGAUGUGAAAUCUCCGAGCUCAACUCGGAAAUGGCAUUGAAUACUAUCCCGCUUGAGGGUCGGAGGGGAGACUGGAAUUCUCGGUGUAGCAGUGAAAUGCGUAGAUAUCGAGAGGAACACCAGUGGCGAAGGCGAGUCUCUGGACGACUCCUGACACUGAGGCACGGAAAGCUGGGGGAGCAAAUGGG
rnacentral:rRNA from 1 species